rnacentral:lncRNA from 1 species
CCGAUUCCACCAAAUCAGGUUUAUCAGGCUUCACAGCCGAUCCAACCUUCUGUCGGAGGAUCCGGUGCUUCUGCGUCAUCAACACCUUUGGGAUAUGGUUCUAUCCAACUGUCCUCUGCACCACUCCCUCCAGUCAGCCCUUCACCCUGGGGGGCACCUUUAAACACGGCCGGUUUGAAUCAAUCGGUCAGUCAAGGGAAUCCUCCGUUCCAGACAUCCUCCCAAACGGCCUCUCGGCCGAUCAUACCACCAUACCAGCCUAUCGCUCCGGAGAUCAACAAGACGUCAGAGCUCAUGCUAUAUGAUGAAACAAGUGGUUCAUACAAACAACCGUCCUUUACU